rnacentral:rRNA from 1 species
AUACGGAAGGUGCAAGCGUUAUCCGGAAUCACUGGGUUUAAAGGGUGCGUAGGCGGAUAGGUAAGUCAGAGGUGAAAGUCCACGGCUCAACUGUGGAAUUGCCUUUGAUACUGUCUAUCUUGAAUCAGGUUGAGGUCGGCGGAAUGUGACAUGUAGCGGUGAAAUGCAUAGAUAUGUCAUAGAACACCAAUUGCGAAGGCAGCUGGCUGGACCUGAAUUGACGCUGAGGCACGAAAGCGUGGGGAGCGAACAGGAUUAGAUACCCUGGUAGUCCACGCCCUAAACGAUGCUCACUCGACCUUGGUCAAUAGAUCAGCGUCCAAGCGAAAGCGUUAAGUGAGCCACCUGGGGAGUACGUCGGCAACGAUGAA